rnacentral:lncRNA from 1 species
AAUUGCUUUGGGUGCCCAAAACAAUUCCCUUGGAACGUGGAGGUUCAACACCAACACCAGGGGCUGCCGUGAGCUCUUCUGCACAGCCCAAAACCUGCGGGGAGGAGAACCCCAAACUCUCAGCACAGGGGGAGGGAGAACCCCAAACUCUCAGCACAGGGGAAGGGAGAACCCCAAACUCUCAGCACAGGGGAAGGGGAACCCCAAACUCUCAGCACAGGGGGAAGGGAGAACCCCAAACUCUCAGCACAGGGGGAGGGAAAAGGAGAGAGCAGAGACUGAGAGACGGCAGCAGGAACCGUGGGGCUGCCCAGAAAUCCGGGACGCGCACGGAACAUCCAGCCCCGCUCGGAUCCGCCGCGGAUCCCGCAGAGACACAGGACACACACGGAUCCUGGGGACACGAGGGGCAGGACUGAUGGACAUGGGAACAGGAAUGGUGGGAACAGGAGAUGGGAACAGGAGAUGGGAACAGGGAAUGAUGGAAACAGGAGAUGGGAACAGGAAUGAUGGGAACAGGAGACGAGGGAACAGAAGAGCUAUUGCUAAAACCAGGAGAUGUGGAAGCACCUAUUGCUGGCAGGGCUGCACACCUGGUACAACCUGCUGAGCUCUGAGAGUAACUUUUGAUAUUCAAGUGCAAAACAUUCAGGCUUUUGGAGCAAAACAAGGCAGAGCUGACUAAGGCAGAGGGGGCUGAGGGAGGCGGUGAGACACGAUGGGAGAGGAGGGUUGGCUGGGAAGGAGGUGCCUGGGAUCCACAGAAACAUUGGCACUUGUGUGGGGAGCACCGACACCAUUCCUGUCUGUGUGCAGCCCCAGCUCCCUGGGAGAUGUUGGCUCUGCAGCUCUCCCGUCAAAGCCCUCCUGAGAAUUCCUGUCUCCCUUUUCCCAGCACCCAUUCCUGUGCCCACAGCUCCUCCCGAGCUCCUGCAGCUCGCAGGGACACGGGGGGCACCCAGAGAGGGG